rnacentral:tRNA from 1 species
GCCGGGGUGGUGGAAUUGGUAGACACGCUUGACUUAGGAUCAAGUGCCUUUGGUGUGCAGGUUCGAGUCCUGUUCCCGGUA